rnacentral:rRNA from 1 species
UAAGUGACUAAGCGUACACGGUGGAUGCCUUGGCAGUCAGAGGCGAUGAAAGACGUAGUAACUUGCGAUAAGCCCAGAUUAGGUAGUAACAACCAUUUGAGUCUGGGAUUUCUGAAUGGGGAAACCCACGUGCAUAAGCACGUAUCCUUACCUGAAUACAUAAGGUAAGGAGGCGAACCGGGGGAACUGAAACAUCUAAGUACCCCGAGGAAAAGAAAUCAACCGAGAUUCCGAAAGUAGCGGCGAGCGAAAUUGGACUAGCCCUUAAGCUUUACACGCGUUAGACGAACGGUCUGGAAAGUCCGACGAUACAGGGUGAUAGUCCCGUAGUUGACGACGUGUGUUCAGUGAAAUCGAGUAGGGCGGGACACGUGAUAUCCUGUCUGAAUAUGGGGGGACCAUCCUCCAAGGCUAAAUACUACUGACUGACCGAUAGUGAACCAGUACCGUGAGGGAAAGGCGAAAAGAACCCCUGUGAGGGGAGUGAAAUAGAACCUGAAACCGUGUACGUACAAGCAGUAGGAGCAGGCUUUGUCCUGUGACUGCGUACCUUUUGUAUAAUGGGUCAGCGACUUAUAUUCAGUGGCAAGGUUAACCAUCUAGGGGAGCCGUAGGGAAACCGAGUCUUAACUGGGCGUUCAGUCUCUGGAUAUAGACCCGAAACCAGGUGAUCUAGCCAUGGGCAGGUUGAAGGUUGAGUAACAUCAACUGGAGGACCGAACCGACUAAUGUUGAAAAAUUAGCGGAUGACUUGUGGCUAGGGGUGAAAGGCCAAUCAAACCUGGAGAUAGCUGGUUCUCCCCGAAAGCUAUUUAGGUAGCGCCUCGGACGAAUACUACUGGGGGUAGAGCACUGUUAAGGCUAGGGGGUCAUCCCGACUUACCAACCCUUUGCAAACUCCGAAUACCAGUAAGUACUAUCCGGGAGACACACGGCGGGUGCUAACGUCCGUCGUGGAGAGGGAAACAACCCAGACCGCCAGCUAAGGUCCCAAAUUACUACUAAGUGGGAAACGAUGUGGGAAGGCUCAGACAGCCAGGAUGUUGGCUUAGAAGCAGCCAUCAUUUAAAGAAAGCGUAAUAGCUCACUGGUCGAGUCGGCCUGCGCGGAAGAUGUAACGGGGCUAAGUAGUAAACCGAAGCUGCGGCAAUAUACUUUUGUAUAUUGGGUAGGGGAGCGUUCUGUAAGCGGUUGAAGGUGUGUGGUAACGCAUGCUGGACGUAUCAGAAGUGCGAAUGCUGACAUGAGUAACGAUAAAGGGGGUGAAAAACCUCCUCGCCGGAAGACCAAGGGUUCCUGUCCAACGUUAAUCGGGGCAGGGUAAGUCGACCCCUAAGGCGAGGCCGAAAGGCGUAGUCGAUGGGAAACGGGUUAAUAUUCCCGUACUUCUUACAAUUGCGAUGGGGGGACGGAGAAGGCUAGGUGGGCCUGGCGACGGUUGUCCAGGUUCAAGUGCGUAGGCUUAAGAGUUAGGUAAAUCCGGCUCUUUCUAAGGCUGAGACACGACGUCGAGCACCUACGGGUGUGAAGUCAUUGAUGCCAUGCUUCCAGGAAAAGCCUCUAAGCUUCAGAUUGUAAGGAAUCGUACCCCAAACCGACACAGGUGGUCGGGUAGAGAAUACCAAGGCGCUUGAGAGAACUCGGGUGAAGGAACUAGGCAAAAUGGUACCGUAACUUCGGGAGAAGGUACGCUCUUGAUGGUGAAGUCCCUUGCGGAUGGAGCUGACGAGAGUCGCAGAUACCAGGUGGCUGCAACUGUUUAUUAAAAACACAGCACUGUGCAAAAUCGUAAGAUGACGUAUACGGUGUGACGCCUGCCCGGUGCCGGAAGGUUAAUUGAUGGGGUUAGACUUCGGUCGAAGCUCUUGAUCGAAGCCCCGGUAAACGGCGGCCGUAACUAUAACGGUCCUAAGGUAGCGAAAUUCCUUGUCGGGUAAGUUCCGACCUGCACGAAUGGCGUAAUGAUGGCCACGCUGUCUCCACCCGAGACUCAGUGAAAUUGAAAUCGCUGUGAAGAUGCAGUGUACCCGCGGCUAGACGGAAAGACCCCGUGAACCUUUACUACAGCUUGGCACUGAACAUUGACCCUACAUGUGUAGGAUAGGUGGGAGGCUUUGAAGCACGUACGCCAGUAUGUGUGGAGCCGUCCUUGAAAUACCACCCUUGUAGUGUUGAUGUUCUAACGUCGACCCCUUAUCGGGGUUGCGGACAGUGCCUGGUGGGUAGUUUGACUGGGGCGGUCUCCUCCCAAAGAGUAACGGAGGAGCACGAAGGUGGGCUAAUCACGGUUGGACAUCGUGAGGUUAGUGCAAUGGCAUAAGCCCGCUUGACUGCGAGAAUGACAAUUCGAGCAGGUGCGAAAGCAGGUCAUAGUGAUCCGGUGGUUCUGAAUGGAAGGGCCAUCGCUCAACGGAUAAAAGGUACUCCGGGGAUAACAGGCUGAUACCGCCCAAGAGUUCAUAUCGACGGCGGUGUUUGGCACCUCGAUGUCGGCUCAUCACAUCCUGGGGCUGAAGUCGGUCCCAAGGGUAUGGCUGUUCGCCAUUUAAAGUGGUACGCGAGCUGGGUUUAGAACGUCGUGAGACAGUUCGGUCCCUAUCUGCCGUGGGCGUUGGAAGAUUGAAGGGGGCUGCUCCUAGUACGAGAGGACCGGAGUGGACGAACCUCUGGUGUUCGGGUUGUGUCGCCAGACGCAUUGCCCGGUAGCUAAGUUCGGAAUCGAUAACCGCUGAAAGCAUCUAAGCGGGAAGCGAGCCCUGAGAUGAGUCUUCCCUGAUACUUUAAGUAUCCUAAAGGGUUGUCGGAGACUACGACGUUGAUAGGUCAGGUGUGUAAGUGCUGUGAGGCAUUGAGCUAACUGAUACUAAUUGCCCGUGAGGCUUAACCA